CAGUGCUCCCAGUGUUUGCAGGUAACAAGAACCCAGCCCAAAUGGAAUUCAGAAGUAAAAUGUAUGCCUUGUGGAUUUCCAUCUUGACAAACUUUCUGGAAGUGAAUACCUUCUAGACCUCUCCAGAUGAACACUUCCUAGAGGACCCAAACAACAACUGCAUGCUACAGGAGUGCCCACCUCAUGCCGCACUCUGUUGCCAUGUGCUUAACUUUUGCCUUCCUCAUACUCCGUACUCUUCUGAACAUAGCAGAACACAGCAGACCCUCAUGGACUACAAAAUUUGUGAUGUUGCAGGAGUGCGUUGGCUUAGUGAAUUGUAACGGGAUUAACAUCCUGAAGAUGUGCUGAAGUUGGAAACCCACAGCGAUCUGCCUUAACCUCUGCAGUAGCCAAUUUUGCGAAUAUUUCAGCUGAAACCUUGAUGCUAGGACUGUUGCUGGGCUGUUCUGAGGCUGCACUGUUCAGCUAAAACUCCAAAAGCGU